AACGAACGCUGGCGGCAGGCCUAACACAUGCAAGUCGAGCGAAGCCUUCGGGCUUAGCGGCGGACGGGUGAGUAACGCGUGGGAACGUGCCCUUUGGUACGGAAUAGCCCCGGGAAACUGGGAGUAAUACCGUAUGUGGUCGAGAGACGAAAGAUUUAUCGCCAAAGGAUCGGCCCGCGUUGGAUUAGGUAGUUGGUGGGGUAAUGGCCUACCAAGCCGACGAUCCAUAGCUGGUUUGAGGGGAUGAUCAGCCACACUGGGACUGAGACACGGCCCAGACCCCUACGGGAGGCAGCAGUGGGGAAUCUUAGACAAUGGGGGAAACCCUGAUCUAGCCAUGCCGCGUGAUCGAUGAAGGCCUUAGGGUUGUAAAGAUCUUUCAGUGGGGAAGAUAAUGACUGUACCCACAGAAGAAGCCCCGGCUAACUCCGUGCCAGCAGCCGCCGUAACAC
rnacentral:rRNA from 1 species